AAGGGCUCCAAGUGCUCCCAUAUGGCAAAUGGCCCUAUACGUUGUGUAUAAUUACACACAAGCAUCCCCACAUCCAUGUUCUGUCUCUAUUAAAGAUCCCUGGGCAGCAGCCAGCGCUGUUUUCCCAGGACAGGAACAUUCCAGACGUCACGGCAGUGGCGUCACACUCUCGCACGCACGGCCUGGGGGCCAGGACGCACCUGCCCGAGGCACGGGAUCCCCCCCACUGCCCUUGUCCUGCCUCCCAGCACUGGGAUGGGGCAAUUCCAGGGGCAGUGGAGCCUUUCCUCUGGACACCAACUGGGAAAGGUGUUUUCCAGCCACAGGGUGGCAGCUGAUGGAAGCCUUAGUGAGCUGCAGUCCUCCUGAGCAGUGAGCUUGUGCAGCAGUGUUGGAAUCACAAGUGGAAAGGACUCAGUGUAAUACUCCAUCACUUUUACUCUCCAUUGAAAAAACACUGAAGGGCCCUGAAAAAAUUUAAAAUGGACAGUUCCUGUUGUUUUCCUGUGAAAGAACAGUGAGUGACUCAGGUGGAAAUCCCUGGCAGAAGGAAUAGGUGGUUCCUGCCCUGGAAAGAUAUUGAGUCUGUUCUGAGAAGUUUCCAAACAGAGGUGAAGCAAGCAAGAAAAUGAAUCAAGAGUCUGCAAACAGCAGAUGCCAUGUAGGAGACAGUGAGAGUCAGCAGACAGCCUGCCCAGCCACACGCUGUGUGUAUCUCACAGAAGAUGUUGAGUAGCUCCAGCCCUGUGACACUGGACUGGUGUGUGUUCCAUCCUGUCCCUGAACAGCCUUGAAUCAGCUUGGGGGAUCCCAGCUAGCACCUUCCUUUCUUCUGAGCUCUGAGACUCUGCAGUACCUGCUCUGUUUCUGCCUCUGGCAUUUGGUGUUCAGUGUGAUGAACACAGGCCUCUUUUUCCUCAAAAACCCCUGAGUUCAGAGGAAAUCCUUUGUCAGCUGCCAGCACAUCAUUAAAGAAUAGCCACGCUGCUUUUUAUAUGAGGUGGAAUCAUUUAAAAUGCUGUAAAUAUAUUCCUGAAAAUAUUCCCUUAACAUUUGUAUCUAUCAGCUCCAAUACAUAGACAAAGGGAUAUUGUGAACAUCCACAGAGAUAUCUGAAAUCUUACCCCAUUAAUGCACUGUGCAAUGCCUUUAGAUUGUGCACUUGUCUGUAUCUUUCCUAACCUCCUGGGGGAUUAUUCCUAGAAUUGACUACCACUGUUUGUUUGAACUGUUUAUAAAUUAAUAAAAAAAUCAAUACCUGGUUGUAAAUGCCAGCUAAUCACAAAUAGCUUUGUACAAAUUAGAGCAGGGAUAUAAGAAGAAAGUAAAUGGACAAUGCCUGUGAGGGUGAAAAAGUCAACACUCAAAGUUCAUCUGCUACCUGAAUGAUUCCAGAGACAUUCAGCCUAUUCCUGUGGUUUUGUUAUUCAUGAGAAAUGGAAGAGGAGGAGGAGAGCUAAGCAAACAUAGCCCAUGCUGUAUAGGCAAUGAAUACAAAGAGCCACUAAGCCAUGAGAGUAGCAACUCUGGCAGACAGAACUGGAAAAUCAUCAUCUGGAUUUCAAAAUGGAAAAUAAAACCCAAAACUUUUUUACCAAUUUCUGGAUUGAUACUUGAGAGGGAAUUACCUGUCAGAUUCAGCCUCAUGGCUUUUCUACCUCAGGAAACACUUCUCUGGUUUAGCUAUGAUGAUUAUGGUAUAGCUGUGCUGGCCAUGAGGUGGGAUUCACACUUACUGUACUGUAGAGUUAUUAGAAGAUUGAUGUAUUUCCUCCAAAAGUUACAUCUGUGACACAUGAAAACAUUUCCUUUUCUCCAUAUAAAACAAUUCUUCAUCUCCAUAUAAAACAAUUCUUUGUAAAGGGAAUUCCCCAGUUUUCUCAGGUUCAAAGGAUGACAACCAAAGAGAAAAUAGAAAUGUAUCAUGUCAUCAGCUGUGCUUCACCUCACUCAAGGAGAUCCCAGGGAUCUGUCAGUACAUUUGCUGCCCAGUGUCAGGCCCUGACAGGAAAGGGUCAGUGCAGGCAGCCAAAUUGGCAGGGUGAGGACACAGCCUGGGACUUCUGCAUCACACAGUGGGAUGGACUGGGCUCCAGGAAUGGCAGAUCCACUGGGAAAUGAGGGGUCUUCCUAAGGGAUCCUCCACCUUUUGUGCUUCAGUCUGCUCGGUCCAUCUCAUCCUGUUUUCCUGCUUUGCAAUGAUAGCACCAGCAAUAUGGUUCAGUAAGCAGUAGUGGGGACUAAAAUGUCAGUACAAUACAAUUUCAAUGUUGUAAAGCAAAGGGACUCUGUACAGACAUCCUCUGUGUCUAAUAAAACCUAU